rnacentral:rRNA from 1 species
GACGAACGCUGGCGGCGUGCUUAACACAUGCAAGUCGAACGGAAAGGCCCUGCUUUUGUGGGGUUCUCGAUUGGCGAACGGGUGAGUAACACGUGAGUAACCUGCCCUUGACUUUGGGAUAACUUCAGGAAACUGGGGCUAAUACCGGAUAUGAUCUCCUGCUGCAUGGUGGGGGUUGGAAAGUUUCGGCGGUUGGGUAUGGACUCGCGGCUUAUCAGCUUGUUGGUGGGGUAGUGGCUUACAAAGGCUUUGACGGGUAGCCGGCCUGAGAGGGUGACCGGCGACAUUGGGACUGAGAUACGGCCCAGACUCCUACGGGAGGCAGCAGUGGGGAAUAUUGCACAAUGGGGGGAAGCCUGAUGCAGCAACGCCGCGUGCGGGAUGACGGCCUUCGGGUUGUAAACCGAUUUGGACUGUGACGAAGCGUGAGUGACGGUAAUGGGUAAAGAAGCAACGGCUAACUACGUG